rnacentral:lncRNA from 13 species
UUGGUAUGAUGGACACAAACGUCUCCCGUCUACAAAACUGCUGUAGACCUGUCAUGUACAGUACUACUAAGAUAUAGUGGGGUUAUAAAUUAUAAGUGCUCCUGAUAAGUGCUACAAUGCCGUAUGACUGCAUAAUAACCCAUCGUACCUGUUGACCUGAAGUAACAUGUUCCUGCUGCUUUGGCAAACGCCCAUGUUUAGCCAUGGCUAUUUACAGACCAUGACAAAGGGUUUAUGCCCUUCACUGUUAGAAUGACAACACAAUUAUCAGGCACAACGGAAGGUGUGCCCUUUUGAACACAUGAUGUCAGCUCUCUGUUUGCACUUUCACCUCAUACCUUACUCCCAAAUCAUUUGUCACAGAGAGCAAAAAGGAGGAAGGGACAGAACUGAAAUGACUCUACUCUACUUUGGAUAUACAGCAGUGAAUGCUCUUCAACCAGAGAGGCAGAGAGGCAGGGGGUAUGCACCAUACCAUCCCUGAUACCUCCGUUCUGAUGCAGGGGACAGGGCUGGCCCUAGCCUUUUGGGGGCCCCUCACCUCGAGUACAACAUAUUUUAUUGGACCCCCUCUUGACGGCAGAGAGAAAACAAACAUUUUAGAAUUUGUUUCCUGCAAUUCUAUUUUUUUUCCAUGGGGCGUAGAGAUAAUGAUGCAGUUUAACCCUUUACACUCACACCCAUAGACAGGUUGAACAUGGCAGAUUUGGGCACUGAUAAGCGCCUAAAUUGAAACGCAUUGGUCUGCACAGUAAUAUGCCAUAAAUGAAGUCAGAGCUCAGACUCUGUGGUGCACAGCGCUGUAUGGGUUUUGACUGACAGCUGUUCUGAACAUGCACACAUUUGUGACAAGAAGUUUCCCCCAUCCCUCCCGGUAAUUAUCUGAGUGAGGGAAAUGCUGUAAAUUAAGAGUACUGUAUUUUGAAAGAUCAGACAUUGACGAUUAAAGUAAAUACCACUUUAAUGUCAUACAAGCAAGCCAAAUGUGCACUCCACAUUUUGUCAUCAUUAAACUCAUGUCAUAUACAGUCAUAAAACUCAUGUCAAAGGUUUAUAAUCACUACGUUUGAUGUACAAUUACAAGAUGAUGUAGCGUCAUACCCUGGGUGUUCCGAA